GAGGGAUGGCCCCUCGGAGUCGGUUUGCAGGAGCAGGCUCCAAACCACCUCAAGCUGCUUGGGUAAAGAGCCCUGGUGGUGAGCGUUGAGGAAAAGGCGCGGCAAGACUGCGUCAGGU
rnacentral:ncRNA from 1 species